rnacentral:rRNA from 1 species
AAGACCUGUACCCAUAAUUGCUAACGGCUUUAUCGAAGGACUGAGCACAUUAUGGGGACUGCCCUGGAAACAGGGAGGAAGGCGCAGGCUACGGUAGGUCUGUAUGCCCCGAAUCUCCUAGGCUACACGCGCGCAACAAUGGUAGAGACAAUGGGCUACGACCCCGAAAGGGGAAGUUAAUCCUCGAAACUCUAUCCUAGUUUGGAUUGAGGGUUGGAACCCACCCUCAUGACAUCGGAAUCCCUAGUAAUCAGAGUUUAGCAUACUCCGGUGAAUAU